UGGCUCAGAACGAACGCUGGCGGCGCGUUUUAAGCAUGCAAGUCGAACGGUAGUCAGGUGCUUGCACCUGAUGAGAGUGGCGAACGGGUGAGUAACACGUAGGUGAUCUACCUAGAAGUUGGGGAUAGCCUGUGGAAACACAGGGUAAUACCGAAUGAGCCUAUAUACAUACGUGUAUGUAGGGAAAGAGGCUCAGGCCUCGCUUGUAGUUGAGCCUGCGGCUCAUUAGCUAGUUGGGAGGGUAAAGGCCUACCAAGGCGACGAUGAGUAGCCGACCUGAGAGGGUGGGCGGUCACACUGGGACUGAGACACGGCCCAGACUCCUACGGGAGGCAGCAGCUAAGAAUCUUCCGCAAUGGUCGAAAGGCUGACGGAGCGACGCCGCGUGGACGAAGAAGGCCGGAAGGUUGUAAAGUUCUUUUCUCAGAGAAGAAUAAGGUGAGGAGGGAAUGCCUCAUUGAUGACGUUAUCUGAGGAAUAAGCCCCGGCUAAUUACGUGCCAGCAGCCGCGGUAACACGUAAGGGGCGAGCGUUGUUCGGAAUUAUUGGGCGUAAAGGGCGCGUAGGCGGCUGAACAAGCCUGGUGUGAAAGGCCACAGCUUAACUGUGGGAGUGCGCUGGGAACUGUUUGGCUAGAGUUCAGGAGGGGAAGCGGGAAUUCCUGGUGUAGGGGUGAAAUCUGUAGAUAUCAGGAAGAACACCUGUGGCGAAGGCGAGCUUCUGGCCAUGAACUGACGCUGAGGCGCGAAAGCGUGGGGAGCGAACAGGAUUAGAUACCCUGGUAGUCCACG
rnacentral:rRNA from 1 species